rnacentral:misc_RNA from 1 species
CUCUAGCCCAGAUUGAGGCAGUUGUUGGAGCUCCUUGAAAAGAGCGACUGCCGAAAGCUGGAAUAGCU